GACAAAACAAAAAAAAGCUGCAAGGAGAGCAAAGUCUGAGAAGAUGUUCGAACUCAGUCAACCCCAAGGGUUCCACAUGUCACAUGCACUUGGGAUGCCAGGGAAAAGCUAAUCAAAAGAUUUACCUGCGGAUCGACUGCAGCUUCUCCGAUUUUAGCGGGAUGGUCUAGUGCUCUUAAUCAACAAAAAAUCCGACGAAGUCGUAGUGCUCGAACGCACUAUUUCUUUUACAGCUCACAAAUGCGCUCCAAGCGAUAGCACCUUUUAGGGGACCCAACAGAUCCGACGAAUGCGAUUCCAAACGUAACACCAAAUAAAAGGUUGCUAAAACGAACUGCAAAAGAGGAAAGCACUAACCCCCAACACCAUUCAACACGGAGUACCAAAGCAAAAUGGAUUCCCUUCCACCUGCGAUGACGUGGCAAGGUAACGAAGCGAGAGUUCACGGAAGUUUGGCCCCCUAGUGGCAAACUUACGAAACGUCGAAUUCCGACGAAAAUCCCUAAUCGAUGUAACUAAUGAGUGGAUGCGAUGGUUAUUACAAAAGAAAAAAAAAACAAACAAGGCUAUCAAGAUUCCAGAAAUGACGAAGACUCUAGGGGACGCUCCACGGCGUUUGUUCCCACCUAGAGUGAAGCUCUGGGAUGGCGCGAUCCAUCCAGUUCCUUAUAGCAAGAACCAAGCUGAAACGAUCCAGAAGACCGAUCUACAACAGCGAGGCUGAAACACUCAUCUGAGCCCCUCCAAGCUCAGAAUCAUCGCGACAGUCUUGCGACUGGGGGAGUCAAAAGCUCGGGACGAACCCUCCACCAAAGUUGUCCUUCAUUGCCAUCGUGCCCAACCCAACCACCCAUUGCACGAAAUGACGAAACGAAAAAAAAAACGAGUAAACAAAAUGUAAUCCGAUCCGAGAAUGCCAAUAAAAACCGAAAUAGCUACGGCGAAUUUUCAAUUCGUAACAAAGUUUUCAUUAAUGAGUUCAGUGCUUCAUACGGAAACUC